rfam:Caldalkalibacillus thermarum TA2.A1 ctg121, whole genome shotgun sequence.
AGCACAUGCUUAGACAUGCCGUAGACAGAAGGUGCCCUGCUGGGCUUAAUAUCCUUCCGAGGCGUGGGUCAGGUUUCUUCAAUUUGCGGAUAGCCCCAAUGAGAAAUCCUAUCCUUCGUCUGUCUACAGGCGAAGGAUUUUUUUGUUUAGUUA